CUAUCCUGGAUAAGACGCUCCAAAGCACUGUUGCUCCGCUUGCUGCUCGUGGCAGGGGAAAGUGAGCUGGUUGGCAAUUGCAGGGACGUUCACGAAGAAUAUUACGCUUAUCUCAAUAAGAGGGGCUCACACAAAUCUUCAAAAUUAUGCCUUUGGAUAUAUGCACGAUGCUCAAUUUUUACAUAAUAUUGAGCAUAAUGAUUGUUAAUCAUUUUAUGAACUUCCU
rnacentral:lncRNA from 1 species